GUUCAGAGUACGUGAAACCGUUCAGGGGUAAACCUGAGAAACCCAAAAGAUCGAAUGGGGAGAUUCAUCGUCAGCUCAUUUUGUAUACGUAUAAGUUAUGAUGCGGGUUACUCUUGUAGUAUUGCCUGUACGUUCUUGUACGUUUAGUUGCAAGAUGUUGUCGGCGUGCACUUCUCCCCUAGUAGGACGUCGCGACCCGUUGAGUGUUGGUCUACGGCCCAAAUGGAAGCCUUUAAUGUUUUUAAAUACAUUAAAGACCUUUGGUGUUUUCUGACCGGCUACUCGGCGGUACUCGUACGGUAUUAAGCCGCAUCUUGUAUGCGUCCAUACCCGUCGCAAGCGAGGUUAGUUUUUGGUAGUGCGGACCUAGUGCCGUCGCUGAAACUAACCAGCUGUUGGUUGUACGGUGUUCUAGGACUGGCUAAGAAAAUAUAUUACCGGUCGGCGAUGCUACUGCUUUGGGUACUUUCAGGACCCGUCUUGAAACACGGACCAAGGAGUCUAACAUGUGCGCGAGUCAUUGGGAUUUUUUUAAAAUUAAACCUAAAGGCGUAAUGAAAGUAAAGGUCGUCCUUGCGUCGACCGAGGGAGGAUGAGCUGUAUUAAGAUACAGCUUCGCACUCCCGGGGCGUCUCAUUCUCAUUACGAGAAGAGGCGCACCUAGAGCGUACACGUUGGGACCCGUACUCUUGUAGUAUUUGGAAGCGUUGGUUGUAUUUUUUUAAAAUUUAAGAUA
rnacentral:rRNA from 1 species